rnacentral:rRNA from 1 species
UACCAGCACCCCGAGUGGUCGGGACGUUUUAUUGGGCCUAAAGCAUCCGUAGCCGGUUCUACAAGUCUUCCGUUAAAUCCACCUGCUUAACAGAUGGGCUGCGGAAGAUACUAUAGAGCUAGGAGGCGGGGAGGAGGCAAAGCGGUACUCGAUGGGUAGGGGUAAAAUCCGUUGAUCCAUUGAAGACCACCAGUGGCGAAGGCGGCUCACUGGUCCGGUACUGAC